UUAACAUAAGUGAGUUUUUGAUCUUGGAGAAAACAAACAACAGUUUUUAAGAGUAAAUUAUUAUUCAACUGAAUAAACUAGAACAGGUGACAUAAGAUACUUGUGGAUGAGAAAACUGCGUGAGGUCUACGGUUCAUUGAACUACUAGUAGCUCUAUCUGCUUUGUGAAAUGAUAGACAAGGAUAGCAACACCAAUUUUAAUCAAAUACUGCCAUUAUAACGUGUACCUCACUAUACACACAAUAUAAAUCGAAUUCAAGGCGAAGUAGAGUCAAGUUUCAGAGUAAUUCAACAAUUGUGAGGUCUACUGUUCACAGAACUACUAGUUGAAAAACGCCUCGUGUGCUUCGGCCCUAAUUCUGACGACAAUUAUUGAUAAGUGUAAAUACAACCAUUUGAAUAACCUGCGAAUAUGUUUGUUAACAAGGUGCUACUGAAAAUAGAAAGACGAUUUGAUUAAUAUGUAUGGACAUUCUAUAAAAUAAAUAUUGUUUUAUACUCUUCAAUGUUAUUGAAAAUUGUUUUAAAUAUAUAUUGUUAUAUAAUCUU